rnacentral:rRNA from 1 species
AUGUCCACUCCCGUGACAUCUUCCGCUCCAUUCCGGUCCGACAUGAUCGAACCACUUACGGGGAGUAACUUCCCUCGUUGGAAGUCCCAAGUCGAAUUAUGUUUGGGUUGUAAUGAAUUUGACUAUGCCUUGAGGGAAGAAAAACCUGUGGCACCUGUGGCAGGUGUCACAGGGUAUGCAGAACUCAAUAAGUAG